rnacentral:lncRNA from 1 species
CUAAUCAUAAUCCCAACCCUUACUCUAAUCCUAUAAACCCUAAUCUCAAUCCUAUCCCUUACUCUAAUCCUAUAAACCCUAAUCUUAAUCCUAACCCUUACUCUAAUCCUAUAAAUCCUAAUCUCAAUUCUAACCCUUACUCUAACCCUAUAAACCCUAAUCUUAAUCCCAACCCUUACUCUAAUCCUAUAAACCCCAAUCUUAAU